rnacentral:rRNA from 1 species
UACGGAGGGUGCAAGCGUUAUCCGGAUUUACUGGGUUUAAAGGGUGUGUAGGCGGGCUUUUAAGUCAGUGGUGAAACCUCCAGGCUCAACCUGGAGACGCCACCCGAUACUGCUGUGACUAGAGUCCGGUAGGGGAGCGUGGAAUUCCUGGUGUAGCGGUGAAAUGCGCAGAUAUCAGGAGGAACACCAGCGGCGAAGGCGGCGCUCUGGGCCGGAACUGACGCUGAGGAGCGAAAGCGUGGGUAGCAAACAGG